AUGAUGGUGCAGCUCCCAGCCACUACUAGAAACUUCAAAGCAGAGCAACUCCACUUGGGGUCCUACUCCUUGCCGGACCGACACAAGCUAUUAAGGAUGCUCGCCACCGAUGGUUUCCGACUAACCAUGUGGCAUCAACUCCCAAGCGGUGAUUGGGCUCUAGAGGCCAUGAUUGACAUGAAGGAGAAAUUAAGGAUGUUGCACCUGGACAUCCCUCCCGACAGUCAUGUGCUUUCCUGA
rnacentral:rRNA from 1 species